UCGGGGUAUAGCGCAGCCUGGUAGCGCGCACCCUUGGGGUGGGUGAGGUCGUGGGUUCAAAUCCCGCUACUCCGAU
rnacentral:tRNA from 1 species